rfam:Schistosoma mansoni strain Puerto Rico chromosome 5, complete genome
AUUCAGCUGACGAGUCCCAAACAUGACGAGACGCACGUUCUGGAU